CCUAAGGACUAUAUUACUGACAUGGUUGAAUUAAUUCAGAGUAAGUUUCGAUUUGUUCCUGAAUUAACUGAACAAACAAAGAAAAUAUUGAUUGAUGACAUGAGUCUGAAAUGGAGGCAAUUUAAAUAUGAACUGAAAUAAAAAGGAUAUGAUGAGAGCAAAACUAAGGAGGAAAUGAUUGCUCACAUCCCAGAUCCUAGGGUUGAUCCUUCUCAAUAUCGUGAUUUAGUACAUUAUUGGUGUUCUGAGAAAGGACAGAAAAUAAGCAACAUCAACAAAAGGAGCCGCUCAAAAUAUGAGGACUUGCAUUGCAUGGGAACCAAUAAUCUUCCAAGACGGAUUCAUGAGA